UGAGAUACUCUAUAUAACCUGUAAAGAGUGUGGUUUUUUUUUUAGCUUUUGAGUUUCAGAACCCCUUUUGUUUUUCUGGCAUUUUCAGAUGGGUUGUUGAUUCUGGUGAAUUCUUUGUGUGUGAUUGAAGAACCAAAGAAAAGUUGAAUCAGGUAACCAGUUGGAAUGUGGUGUGGAGUGCAAGCAUUUAUGGAAGUAGGGGUAAGAGUAUGGAAUUGUGUACGUGUUCCAUCUAUAUAUAGGCCUUGUUAUUUUUAAAUUUACCCUUUUUAGCGUCUCAUUUUUUGUGUAUGGUAUAUGCCAUAAUGGGGUCAUCGGCUGAUCAUUAAGUCAAGAUGGAUCAGUUAAUGUUUUCAACUUUGUUUUCAUACAUUACUAGUAUAGAGUCAUUCUUCUAUAUUUGAGAAUAUUAGAGGCCAGAUAGAGUCAAAUAAGUUAGGUACUUGUGGUCAUUUCGUAAUUGAAACUUUUGGUAGACAGUUUACACCCUCCAUCCGUUUUUACUUGUUCAGUAUUGACUUGACACACCCUAUAAGGUGCAAUACAUAGAAUGACAAUUUACUAUAUCACCUUUUGAAUAUAAUAAAUUUAUAUUUUGGAAAAUGACUAGUCAAUAAUAAGCGUAAAUUAGGAACUAAGUGAUAAAUUAUAUCUUGGUUUUCUGAACUGGACAAGUAAAAGCAGACAGCUAUUCUUAGUACAUGGAAUUGAGGCCCUUUGUGGUUUUAUAACCACACUUGGAUUAAUCGCUAAUCAAAUCAUAGGUUUCAUCAGAACUCAACUAUGAGAAAUCUAUGGUGUAAAAACUAUCAUAGAAAAGUUAAGAGUCAUCAUGUUCGUAGCACAAGAUUAAGGGAAGAAGGUUUAGAAGAAACUCAAUCUUUUGAAUCCUCCUUGAAAAAUCUCGAGUUCAAUCUUCUUUUCUCUCUAUAUUUUCCUGAAAAACUGUCUGGCUGUGCGGCCUCCCGUCUGUAACAACAUCCAAAAAUUUUCUUCUUUUUCACCCCUUGGAGAACUGUUGCUGCUAGUAUUUUUGGAGCUGGAGGAGGAUUUCUUAUGUGAAUUAUAGCUUGAAAGCGGGGCUUACCUUUUACACAAGGAUUUCUCUUCCUUUUUCUACUUCUAGAAUUGAGAGUGCUAUUAAAGCUCAUGUGUUUCCAUCUUCAGAAUAAAGUUAAAGUUACAAUAUCUAAGUUUAGAAUGUGGGGGGACGUGUUAAGUUUGUUGACCAUGUUUGAAAGCCUUCUUUUUGAAGGCAGAGUUGGAAGUUCUUCGAUCGAUGAUACUUUGAUUUUGGAUAGGUUGAGGUAUCUAGUUGGGAAGAAUGAGUUUGAUUAUGUUUGAGGGGAAUUUCCUACAUUGAAUUUUAAGGGAGGAGAGUGCGAGUCCGGUGCAGCAUAGUUGGUGGAUAAGUGCGUGUCAGCUUGAAGGAACUUGUUCUAGUAUUUUAAGGACAAAGGGUAUAGUGUGCACCGUUAUUCUUAUUUUAGUAACAAGUGUUGAUCUUGUAUGGUGUCCUGUGAAACUCUUUUUUAUCUCUCUCUUGAAUAUACAUUGAAGAAGCUUCUGUACAAGUUCCUAGCUGCAACAAUUUGUUGCUCAUUUCGGUUUGACAUGUUCCGGAGAAUAGCUCUGUAGAUCUUGCAUGAAUGUUUCACCCUAGGUAAAUGUCUUCUUCAGAUUCUACGUAUAGGAUAGCAGUGCUAUCAAAAGCAAAAAACGCAAAUAAAACGUGAGCUUUAAUGCAAAAAGGUGCCAAAGGAGAAAAAACAAACAAAUAUUAUAUGUUUAGUCCAAGACUAAUAAUUUAUAAGCAUGAAUGACAAAUAUAUACACAAAGAAAUUGAAAAAUAAUUACAAUAUCAACUGUUUAUGUCGUCUCUUCAGAAGAGGUUCAUUAGCGAGGAAAAUUAUGCCAUAGAACCUUGAUGACAACACUGUAGUGCACAUUAAGCGACGCGAAGUGCUCGACAUGAUUUGUGCCUCAUUUCAGGGUUUAAGCGUGCCUUGGAUAACACUGAGGAUUAGGAUCUUGUUGUAGAUAUUUAUGACAAACUUCUACAGUAGAAAAGAAAUGCUUGAAAUUGUCAAAGGCGCGCUUAUGCAUUGAAGGCGAGACUCAGAAUUGUGUUGAGCACUUCUCCUCGCUUAAUGUGUGCUUUAUCAUCAUCAUCAAGGCUCUAAGACAUAAUUUUCCUUGCCAAUAAGCCUCUUCCGAAGAAGCAACACCAAACAAUUUAUUUGUUCUAUUUUUUCAAUUUCUUUGUCCGUAUGUUUGUCAUUCAUAUUUAUGAUUGUUAGUCUUGGACUACACCUAUAUAUAUGUAUGUAUAUAUAUAUAUAUAUAUAUAUAUAUUUGUUAUUUUUCUCCCU